rnacentral:lncRNA from 1 species
UUUGUCCUGCAUUUUUUUUUAGCUGUAAUCUCUGUCCUGCCUUUUUAUUUUUCACUCUGUUCGGUCCUGCCUUUUUUUUUAGUUUAUCCUGACUUUUUUUUACCUAAAUUGUCGUCCUGGCUUUUUUUUUUUGCAAGUGACUCAUCCUGCCUUUUUUUUUACUCAAAACUCCUGUCCUGCCUAUUUUUUUCAAAUUUCAUCCUAGCCCCCCCAUAAAAAUCAGAUGGUAGCUCCCUAAAAUUGAAAUCAUCUCUUCUUAAAUUGAUGGACGCCAUCACAAAUUGGUUGACCAUUAUGGAUUAUCCAAUUGUCUUAACUAUAAUCCUGUCCCCUUUUCCCCAAUUGUGACUUGUCAAUUAAGACUGCUCACUGGGUUUGUACUCAC